AGAGGCUCGCCCCAUUUGGUUCAAGAGGAUUUGUGCCUAAUCGGGACGAUUAGGCUUUAGUGGAGGGCAGUGUUACAAAAAGUAGUAUUAAGUUUUAUUUGUAUUGCUAUAUGCAUCCCUGAUUAUGAACAAUAGCUGUAGGUAUAUGGAAUAGCAUUUGUCUUGUUGUAGACAUCUGGCGCCACGGCUGUCUGCUUGUCGAAACAAUAGACAUCUGGCGCCGCACUGUCUGCUUGUCUAGGUAAACAAUUGCUGAGUCUGGCGCCGCGACUGUCUGCUUACGUCUGGCGCCGUAUAGCCGUAUGUUCUGGUAAUUUCCAGACGCGAUAUUCUAGAAGGACACGUCGGCAUCAGCGAGAAGUGCGUGGCUAUAUAAGCCGUGACAGCGCCAACGUAAUCAAUCAGUGCUAAGAGUAAACUGCUAUAGUGUAGACGAGUUGUGAAAUAAAGAGUUGUUGAAUUAAAUUAAACAGUGUUGAUUUUAUUUGUCAAUCCAGAGAUACGAACCUAACAAAGUAAACUAGCAAGAGUAAAUUCGUAACAAUAUAAACAGCCCGAUUCUGUGCACUUGAUAAAUUCACCAUCUUGCUUAUUUAUCAAAAUUUAUUAUUUAUCAAGUCUUUGGUAUUCUGUGUCAAAAACCAAAAGCUCUUUUCUAGAUAAAUUAUCAAGAUGUCAAAUGCUCUUGACAAAUUCAACAGCUGUUUGUGAAAAUAUUGUGAACACAUUUUAAUUGUAAUUUUGAUUGAAAUUAAAUAAAAUAAAAUGGAAGAAGACAUAUUAUUAUUGUUGCUGUUAGAAGAGGAGGAAAAUUUAGAAAAUAGAGAUCGCGCGCGUUAUUUCAGGAGUUUGAGGGAUUCUACUGAUCCAUUUGCCCUCAGUGAAAGUGAGUUCAUGAAAAAUUUCCGACUGCCGCGUGAUAUUUGCCGGAGUCUAAUAGAUGACUUACGGCCUCAUGAUCAACAAAAGACUUCAUUGCCUUUGACCAUUAGAGUCCUGGCUACUUUAAAUUUCUUUGGUCACGGUUCCUACCAAAAAUGUGUCGGUAAUAACUGCAACUUGCCAAUGAGUCAGUCGUCACUCUCGAGAAGUAUGCGGGCCGUGGCCAAACUUAUAGUAAAAGUUAAAGGAGAAGAAAUAAAAUUUCCUAGUUCCACUGAGGAAGAAAAUAUAGUCAGAACCGGGUAUGUACAUACAUGUGUAUUAAAACAAUUGGAUUCAUCUAAAUUCACUGAGUUCAAUUUCAGAUUUUUCACAAAAUACGGAAUAAAGAGUACUAUAGGAGCAAUCGACUGUACACAUGUUGCAAUUAUUGCUCCUGCGUCAAAUAAUAUUGAACGUCCCCUUGGCUUAUAUUUAAAUAGGAAGGGCUUCUACAGCAUUAAUGUCGAAGCGGUAUGUGAUCACCGUUUAUGCUUCACGUUUCUGAAUGCUAAAUUUCCGGGUGCGACACAUGACUCUGGAAUUUGGGCAACUUCUGACCUACGAGAGCAUCUCAUUCGUCAACACACCAAUGACUCUGUAGGGCACCGAAGGCAGUCGUGGCUGAUUGGUGACCAAGGUUACCCUUUAGAACCUUGGCUCUUAACACCGGUCGGAAAUCCUAGUACUUCUCAAGAGCGAAAGUAUAAUAAGCUACAUUGUACUGCCAGAAAUUGUGUUGAAAGAGCGUUCGGAGUUUGAAAAUCGCGUUUCAGAUGUUUGCUGAAGCACCGGGUUCUACAUUAUUCCCAUGAAACGUCCGCAUUAAUAAUAAGCAGUUGUGUUAUACUGCAUAAUAUAAUUACGAAAGCUGGUAUUACCAUGCACGCGGUGGACAACGAGGUUGAAGAAGACUCUGACCAUGUAGUUAAUUCCGGUGACUGUUUGCAGUAUACACGAGAAGGUGAAAGGAUAAGGGCAAGAUAUAUAUCUACACUUUAACACAUUAUUACACUAUACACUACAUUACUACUAACAAUAUGCAUAUAUACACUGCACAAUGACAUUACACAUUAACCUACUCCUGUUACAUUAUCCGUCUAUUAUUACACAAUAUAACGACUGCUAACAAUAUGUGUAUACACAAGUCAUAUGUAAACAGAAUAUCUAAACAGAAGCACACAUCACCGCACUUAAAAGUAACCCCUGCAUAGCCUGUGUCAGGCACAUGCUAAGCUGCUCGGUCUGAGUCACGACAUCUUCAGCUACAGAAUAACACAACCAGAUAUAAUUAUUAACAACAUUGUUUCAUUAGUUUAAUUCAUUAGUUUUAAUAAUUUAUCUUAUAGAAUUUAGUCCACACAAAGGCCCACAUUAUUGUUAACAAGCAUAUAUAUGCAGCGGUAAAACCACGCCACGAAGAUGGAGAAACCAGACAUGCAGAUAAAAGGACAACAAGAAUGCAUACGCAGCGGUAAAAACACGCCACGCAAACCAGACAAGCAGACGAAACAACAGCAAGCAUGCAUACGCAGCGGUAAAAUCACGCCACCGCCAGCAACACACGCCAUCCCAGCAACACACGCCAUCCCAACGCAACAUGUUGCGAAUGUGCUAGCACGCAACACAGGCUUGGUGGGUAGUUAGAUGGCGGAUGAUCAGUCAGUCAGCACGGGACUGUGACAGCGUACACACGUUUUGGCAUCAGACUAUGCAGCGAGUUUAUCCUCUGGCUAGUCUUGGUACCCUGACUUGUGAACGCCGUAUGUUAAGGGUGAGCUCGGUAGUGAGUUUAUCCUCUGACCGACUCAACCGUUAACAUCGCGGUCGCUAAGACAGUCUUCCGUGAUCCGGGAUCUUUAAAAGUGACAGUCGUCUAGUAAGUGAAGCCUACGCGGGUGUCGGCAGAAGCAGCAGCGCGUGAUUGAAGUGGUACGGAGCAGCAAGUCGUCUAGUUAGUGAAGCCUACGCGAGCGUCGGCAGAAGUAGUCAGCGUAGCACGCGAGGGUGAACGCGUAUAGCAGGGCAGCGAUAGGGAAGCCCACACGAGCGUCGGCAGAAGCAGCAGCGCGUGAUUGAAGCGGUACGGAGCAGCAAGUCGUCUAGCACCCAGGAGCGCAGCAGAGCGGGAAAACAGUAUUGCCCUAACGGAGCACAUCGAACCGUUACCCUAACAGCGCCGUCCUCGGGCGACGACUGUACAACGCAGGAGACGUUUUGUGACUUGAAUUAAUAUAUUAUAUUAGAUAUUAAUAUACAUAAGUUGAAAUAAAUAAAGAACGAUUCGCAGAAAAGCCCCAACACUUACCAAUUUAUUGUAACGAACCCUGGACACGGCGAGUAUACCUCAGCAAUUAUACUUGUAAGAAGCAGGGGCAGCAAAAAGCUUCGUUACAAUUCCAAUAUAGGCCACAAUUGCAAGCAAGCACUGAGCUCAAUAAAAGAUAAGCUCCACCUAUACUUGAUCUAGGUUCCUGGCGACAGCAACAUUUUCGGCAAGGAAAAAGCAGACGAGUUGGCAAAGGUAGAAGCUUUCUUUAAUGAGUCCGAAGUGGAGCCAAUACCAAGCCCGCUAGAAUCGAUCAAAAGAGAGAGCAAUAGAAAGUUUCAACAAGUUGCAAAUAACAGAUGGAAAAACAUAAACAAAUGAGUUAUAACUAAACAAUUAUGGCCAACAUAUAACAAGAAAAGAACCAACGACUUAUUAAAUAAGUCUAGGAAAAGUCUGCCGAGGCUGCGGAAUAGCAGGGAAUAAGGCAACAAUUUUCCACUCUCUCUGUGAAUGCCCAGCCCUAUCAUAGAUCUAACACAGAAGAUUUGGAAUCCAUCAAGCACCAAACCAUGGGUGGAUUUCUACUAAAAGCAUAUCGGACUUCAUCGAAACCUUAAAAUGAUUUGAAGGAGAAGGUGAAACGUGAUAGCAUAUACAUAUAAAAGGUUUACGAAUGGUGCAUUAAAAUGGCACGGCAAAUGCUAAUUGAGCUCGAAUAGACAACAAGGCUGCACUCCUACCUACUUACCUACCUACAGUGUCUCUCCUGGGAUAACACCGCGCCUAUGCCAUAGGCUGAAGCAUCUUGUAAUCGGGGUAACUAAGCAUGACAUCUUCAAGUACCAAACUAGUACAUUACUUUUGAAAUGCUGGUUGUUGAACUUCUGAAAACUUUAACGAAAUUUUACGGGACCUGAUCCGUCCUUUAAAAUGUCUGACAAAGGCUUUACUAUUGCUGCAAGGUCCUUAAUAAAACGUGUAUAAAAACUUGUUUGCCUAAUCGAGGUUCUUUAAAAUUUAAACUGAUCCAGCGUUGAAAAAUACUUGUUUUUGUUCCCCAAAAUUGUCGAAAUGGUUGGGAUUUGGUUAUUUUUCUGUUCGUUUUCUUAUUAAAUUCACGAAAGUAUUCACUAAACGGAUGUUUCGAUCAUCCGCCUUGCCAGUGUUUUGCUUACAAGACACUCAUUAGGUUAUUGUAUGCAGAAAUUGAUUUUCAAAUAAUGCCGUUCCUAAGCAGAUUUUGAAUUUUUUUAUUGGGUAAUUCUGCUUUGCUUUUGGGUAAAGUUCUGCAGAAGUCAAUUUCAUACCUGCCCCCGUCUGAUGACAAGCAGCAGGGAUUUAACCCUACAAAAUUUACGGCAUCAGAGUCAUAACCGAUGCUAAUAUCAUCGAUAUUCUUUAUACCCUGAAUAGGGUAUAUUAAGUUUGCCACGAAGUUUGUAACACCCAGAAUGAAGGGUCGGAGACCCUAUAAAGUAUAUAUAUAUAUAUAAAUGAUCAGUAUGUCCGUCCGUCUGUUUGUCUGUAUAUAUACGAACUAGUCCCUCAGUUAUUAAAAUAUCGUUUUGAAAUUUUGCUUGCUUGUCGGAACUGCCGAUAUCGGACCACUAUAACAUAUAGCUGCCAUACAAACUGAAUGAUCGGAAUCAAGUAUUUGUAUGGAAAACUUUCACAUUUGACAAGAUAUAUUCACGAAAUUGGGCAUAGAUUAUUUUCUAAGGCAACAACGCAAUCUUCGAAGAAAUUGUUCAGAUCGGUUAACUAUAGCAGAUAGCUGCCAUACAAACUGAACAAUCGGAAUCAAGUUCUUGUAGGGAAAACUUUCACAUUUGACAAGAUAUAUAUUCACGUAAUUUGGUAUAGAUUAUUUUUUAAGGCAACUCUUUAGAAAUAGAUCUACAGUUUAUAUGCGAGUUUAGUAGUAGAAAUCAUCACCGCUACUUUUGUACAUAUUUUAUUAAGUACCAACAUUCUUGACACUUAAUUGUAUAGAACAACACUGUAGCAUUGUUUAAAACUAGAUACUUGUAUAUGCUUGCUUUAAGACUGAGCGCCGGCAAUCGCCAAACCGGUUUUGUCUAUUUGAAUGACUUUAAUAAUGAUAGGCAAACAUACAUACCUACAUUAGUGUGAAUGCAUACAAUUAGAACAUGUACCACUAUCUCAGCUGAUCUUUAUACCGUAGCCACCGUACUUGAGAUAGAAGAAAAGCUGUAGGUUAAUCAACUUCUACAGCGAUUAAUUUCAGUCUGUCGUAUAACACUGGCGUACACUCAUUUUGGUGUCUAAGAUUCUAGACCUGAUUUUAGGUAUAUUUUGUGAGCUAAUACGAAAAUAUCACUCACAUUUUUCAUAUCAGUUCUCGUUUGUGUGAAACCCACGCUUUAUCUUGAUUGCCAAUUUCAAUACCAAAUAUUUACAAGCGAAUUACAAUAUCAUUAAUCGGUUUCCGUUGAUUUUUCAUUAUAUACUCGCCGCAUUUAUAAGAAACUUGUCAGGAUCAUUACUGCAACUACUCUACUUACCUUCCAUAAUAAAUUUGUACUAUUGAUCUCAUAAAAGUGAUAAUCAGAUUGACAGACUUUGAAUAAAACCGGAAAAAAUUAAAAUAAGACUUGAAGGUAAACCAGAGCUGUUAGGCUAACAGUGUUAGCUGACAUCUAGUAGCAGCAAUACAGUUAAUACUACCUACUUUACCGACUACAGAUACGGACAGAGCUGCACCAAACAAAAACAAAACUUUUUUAGGCCGGUGUAAUGAAAGUCGCGGUAAUUGCAAGCUAGAUAUUAAACAUUAAUAAUUAAAAUAAUUAAAUUUCGUUGUUUUCCUUUUGAAACAUUUAAACGGGCAAUAAAAACGCUUAUUGUCCUCCAAACAUUUUGGUGAUGGACGUGAUCGCGGAAUUAACAUUAUCGUAUUAAUAAUUUCGUAAUUUUUCGCAAAUUUAUUUAAAACUUUACGGUCUUUGACGCAAAAAAUGGCACAGCUGAAGCCAAGAAGAAGCUGGAUUCAUUUAUCCAACAAGUCACCGUACUCAACAACACGUUGAGUUUUGAUGUCUUGCGUGAAUUCGACGAAACUGCAGUGGAGUUCUCUGCUCCAGAUCAAAGACCACAAUAGAGGGGGAUUUGUGCAAAGAGCAUUUUAUAAAAGCCCAUAAGCGAUUGGAAUCUGGUGAGUUUUCGGUUCGAUUACCAACAAAAUCGCCUUCUUGCGAACUAGGAGAGUCGUAUCAACAGGCUAUCAAUCGAUUCAAGGCUUAGAGCGGAAAUAUCAGCGCAAUGCUGAACUAAAACAACUAUAUUCGUCAUUCAUUAAGGAGUACUUUUAUUUGAAUCAUAUGUUAGUGAUUUUAUGUACAUUACUGUGUUUUAAAGGCAGAUGGCACAACAACAAAACUGCGUGUGGUUUUUGAUGUCUCUGCGCCAACCAGCAAUGGACUUUCGUUGAAUUCGAUUCUGAUAAAAGGACCAACCAUUCAACCUCCACUUUUUUAUAUUUUGCUUCGAUUUCGCACCUUCAAAACUGCUCUUAAGGAUGUCUAAUCCAGGCGACUUCCUGCAGUUUUUAAUUUGGAGGGACAAACCUAAUGAAGAGUUUAGCAUUUUUAAGUUAGGUACCGUCACCUAUGAAAAGAAGCCAGCUUCUUUUCUAGCCAUUCGUUCAAUGCAGCAGCUUGGCCGCGAUGAAGCUCAUGUUUAUCCCGUUGGAGCCGGAACGAUACAUCAUGGAUUCUAUGUGGAUGACAUGAUUACCGGUGCAGGCUCGGUGGGCGAAUCAAAGGUGAUAUUAAAUGAGACUAAAAAGUGUUUGUCUCUCUGAAACUUUCACUUAAGGAAAUGAUGUUCGAAUGAUGAUCGAGUCUUGAUUGAUAUUGAGGGUAAUGACAAUCAGGACUUCUUAACCUUCGACGACGGUACAAGCAUAACAAAGACACUUGGAUUGGCUUGGGACCCUAAGUUGGGCGUAUUCAUAUUUUUCUUUUCACCCUUCGGAACACCGGCUAAGGUAACUAAACGCACAAUCCUUUCGGCUAUAGCCAGGCUUUACGACCCCCUUGGUUUGAUUGGACCUGUGUUGGCCGAAGUCAAAAUAUUCUUGCAGCGUUUGUGGAAAGAGAAGCUACAUUGGGACGAAAUCCCAACUCAAUCAAUUCAAACAGAAUGGCUAGAAAUAUACAAUCAAUACAAACUAAUUACUCGUUACUACAUGGAUUUUGUGAUGCGAGUGAGGCUGCUUAUGGGGCCUACAUAUGUAUACAUACGCGCUGAAAGAGGCGGACACAUCCGAACCAAUCUUCUCUGUUCCAAAUCUCGCGUAGCUCCACUCUAACGAUACCAAAGCUUGAGCUAAGUGAUGCAUUACUGUUAGCUGAUUUAAUCGCAAAGGUAACCAAUUCAACGCAUUUCAAAGCAAAAGGGGUAUUUUGCUGGUCUGACUCCACAACAGUGCUAUCGUGGUUGCGUAGUGAACCAGGUAUGGUUUGGAGCCAUGUUCUAACAGAUUCUAACCCAGCGGGCAUUCUUUCAAGAGGAGCUAGCCUCAAAGAACUCUUAAACUUGGAUUUAUGGAAAUACGGUCCCCAUUUACUGGGUGGUGAUCAAUCUAACUGGCCUAAAUCUCCUCUCCUACCAACAAAGAACUUGCCCAAGGGCCGAAAGCCUGCAUUUGUAUUUGUUUCUACUUUAGACAUGUCUCUAAGUUGCAAAUUUGUUAACUCAUUUGAACAAUUACAAGUAUAUGCAUAUAUUUUUCGGUUUUCCAGAAGAGCUGAAAUGAGAUUUUCUGGACCACUCAAAGUAAGGGAAUUACAGGAAGGAACCUUUAUACCUAUAUGAAUCUUCGAGAUGAAUACAAAGCACUCGAAUCCAAAGAGGCGAUAAAGUCUUCAUCUGAAAUUCGUUCGCUCGUUCCCUUUCUCAACGAGCGCGGGUUGCUUCGAGACUUCAGUAUUAAAAUUUGGGUUUUUCAUCUAAACACCCAAUUAUUUUGUCAAAACGUCACCCGGUGAUUGACGCAAUCAUCAGCAGUUUUCAUAGGAAACUUUUACACGCUGGACCUCAAUCGCUAUUAGCAUCUAUUCGUCUACAAUAUUGGCCUAUUGGCGGGCGUAAAACCAUUAUAGAACAUUUAAUGGGAAAUUUACCUUCGAAAAGGGCUAAAUGCAAUCGAGCAUUCCUAACUACCGGAGUGGACUUUUGUGGGCCAUUUUUCUACAAAUCGGACGUACGCAAUAGAGCUCCAAUUAAAUGCUACAUUUGCAUCUUUAUUUGUUUCGCCACCAAGGCCGUUCAUUUGGAGCUGGUAAAGGAUUUGACAACCUCUUCAUUCCUCGCAGCCCUUAAGAGAUUUAUUUGUACGCGUGGCAGACCGCAAACUAUAUGGUCGGACAAUACCAUCAAUUUUGUUGGAGCCAAAAAUGAGCUAUCGGAAUUGAAAAAAACUAUUUUUGAGCCAAGAGCAUUCGAAAGUGAUUCACGAUGAUUUGAGCAGUGUGCGAGCGAUCAAAUAAAAUGGAAGCUGAUACCCUCACGCUCUCCACACAUUGGCGGUUUAUGGGAGGCUGCAGUCAAAAUGGCCAAAUAUCAUUUUUAUAGAGUUGUGGGCCUUUCUAAAUUAAGCUUUGAUAAGCUUCGCACACUUGUGUGCCAAAUAUGCGUGAUUAUAAAUUCACGACCUUUAUCUCCCAUUACAGAGAGUCCUGACAUCACUCCUCUCAAUAUUAAUCAUCUUAGCAGAUGGCAUCUAACUCUUCUGCAACAACGCCAUAAAUGGCACUCAUCUUCGUCGAAUCUCAAGCUCGGGGACUUAGUUUUGAUAAACGACGAGAACAAUUCCCCGCUAAAGUGGCCUUUUUCUAGAGUCAUAGAAACCAUUUCCGGAAAGGACCAGGUGGUGCCAGUCGCAGUUCUAAAGACAUCAAAAGGCGUAUACAAGCGAGCUGUUUCAAAGCCGUGUCUAGUACCAAUAGAUGAUAAUAUCUUGAAAGCCUAAACCUUUCAACGGGCGGAUUAUGUUUAGAAAUAGAUACAUAGUUUAUACGCGAAUUUUAUAGUAGAAAUCAUCACCGCUACUUUUAUACAUAUUUUAUUAAGUACCAAUAUUCUUAACACUUAAUUGUAUAGAAUAACACUGUAGCAUUGUUUAAAACUAGAUACUUGUAUAUGCUUGCUUUAAGUCUGAGCGCCGGCAAUCGCCAAACCGGUUUUGUCUAUUUGAAUGACUUUGAUAACGAUAAGCAAGCAUACAUACCUACAUUAGUGUAAAUGCAUAGAAUUAGAACAUGUACCAUUAUCUCAGUUGAUCUUUAUACCGUAGCCACCGUACUUGAGAUAGAAGAAAAGCUGUAGGUUAAUCAACUUCUACAGCGAUUAAUUUCACUCUGUCGUAUAAUAAAUUUCGCGAUAAUUGCAAGCAAGAUAUUAAACAUUAAUAAAUAAAAUAAUUAAAUUUCCUUGUUUUCCUUUUGAAACAUUUAAACGGGCAAUAAAAACGCUUAUUGUCCUCCAAACAGCAACAAUGUAAUCUCCGAAGAAAUUGUUCAGAUCGGAUUACCAUAGCAUAUAGCUGCCAUACAAACCGAACGAUCGGAAUCAAGGGCUUGUAUGGAAAACUUUCGCAUUUGACGUGGUAUUUUCACGAAAUUUGGCAUGGAUUACUGCUUAAGGUACAAUAUAAUCUCCCAAAAAAUUGUUCAGAAGAAUUACUAUAGCAUAUAGCUUAAAAACAAACUGAACACAUAGUUACUAACAGAAAUGCACCUGUGAAGGGUAUUUAGCUUCGGUGCAACCGAAGUUAACGUUUUUUCUUGUUUUUUGUGCGUUAGACACUGCGUUGACUACUCUGCUCCUGCCCUAAGUCCUGAGGGACAUAAUUUAGCUUUUGUUGUAGCCCGGUCUUUCCGCCUGUACGGCCAAAUGCAGCAUGAAAUAGGUUGGAAAUAAAGUGGACUGGAUCUGGGAAAAGGAGGAUAAACCUUCUUGGGUACCGGAGCACUAUUGAUAUUCUGCUGCCUACUGUUCCGUUGGUUUACCUGGACUUAGCCCUACAGUUUGGACUGCUUAUUAAAAUGCGUAUUCUUUGUACUGCUUGCCUGUGGUUCAGUCCGCUGAAAAUGUGUCUUCCGCGCCUUAAUAGAUGGCAUACGCUCUCAUUCCUCUUGUCUUUUUAGAAAAUUAUUGGCUUAGACGAUGAAAAGACAAAAAUGCAGAUUUUUUUAAAUACGAAUCAGUAAUAAUGAAAAUUUUUAUUUACUUAUGUUUUUAAAAUUUAUAUUUAAUGUGUAUGUUAGCUAACUUUUUACUUGUUCUUACUUAAUUACUUUAACUUAUUCUUAUAAUUUUAAUUAUAUUAAUAUUAUUUUCAAUCUAAAGAGCGAAGAAAAACUGUUCCUUUUUGAAAAUCAAAUAAUUUUUCUUCCAUUUAAAAUCUGAACGUGUGAAAUUUGAAAUAAAGAAUAUUUUUUUUAAUUUUAAAACUUAUUUUCAUGACUAAUAUUAAUAUCAAUCAGUAUUAAUAAAUAUAAAAUCCAUGCUAAUUGAAUUUUGCUGAAUAUAAAUACAAAUUAUUAUGUUUUAAUUUAUGGAAAAUUAAAGGUAUUGCAUUCAAAUUAAUUCCGUUUAUUUCAGAUUAUAUAUUUUUUUUUGCUUUAUUGCAGUUUAGAACUACGUAACAUAUCUAUGCUAUUAAGUAAAAGUAGCUAUCGCAAUAGCUAUAAAAAAUCAUUGUGAUUUAAAUCGCUCUUUUCACUUAAAGCUUAGUACGCAGCUCUCAAGAAACGUAAAAACUUCAUAUAAAAAAACGCUUAAGAAACGGUCCAGAAACGUUCCUGCGAUAGAGUUACUUGUGCUAGUACGCAGCUCUUAAGAAAGCUAGUACUAAUUUUUAAUACUUUUUUUCAAUAAAAUGUGAAUAUGGCAAACCUGGUUUUGCGAAGAAACAUCAAAUCAACAAUUGUUUCUUGCAGGAAAUUCGAAGUAAUCGUCAAAU